rnacentral:lncRNA from 1 species
AUGGCCAAGUUCAUCCGUAACUUCGCAAAGAAGGCACCAUCGAUGAUGGCCGCUACCGUGACUUACUCGAAGCCUUGAUUGGCCACAUUUUGGCACUAUGCCAAGGUUGAGGUUGUUCCCCCAACCCCUGGUGAAACCCCUAUGUGAAUUCAGAGCAUGAACUAAAUUAUUCAGCUGGGCGUGGUGGCGCAUGCCUUUAACCCCAGCACUUGGGAGGCAGAGGAAGGUGAAUUUCUGAGUUUGAGGCCAGCCUGGUCUACAGAGUGAGUUCCAGGACAGCUAGGGCUACACAGAGAAACCCUGUCAAAAAAACAAAACAAAACAAAACAAAAAAUCAAAGUGCUAAAACUGGUAACUUCAAACAC